UAAAUACACAGUGCUUGUCCUUGGCCUUUCUGUGGGCAUACCAGUGUCAGCUGCACUUGUAGGGGCCCAAGUGCCUCAUGACCCACUCCGCAGCCUUCCUCUCCAGGAUCCCCAAGGCUAGGAGGCCAACCUACUAACAGGUGGGUAUGGUGUGUGGUUUCACUCAGCUCUUCUCAUGGGGUUUCUCUGAGCUCCAUUCAUACCAGAAAGGGAGCAGGAGAGAGAGGACAAGUGGAUCCAACAGCCUUCGCUCCAGGGGAAUCAGGGCAUCGCCUCCUUUUCUGGGAGGACACUCCCUUCUGAUGGUGAAUGGGAACUCCCUUCCUCCUGCAGCAGCCUGCCUGCAGCCGUCCUGGUAGAACAGUGUGGACAUUGCAGAAGCUGUCACUGCCCCAGAAAGAAAGCACCCCAGAGCCAAGGCAAAGAGUCUUGAAAGCGCCACAAGCAGCAGCUGCUGAGCCAUGGCUGAAGGGGAAAUCACCACCUUCACAGCCCUGACCGAGAAGUUUAAUCUGCCUCCAGGGAAUUACAAGAAGCCCAAACUCCUCUACUGUAGCAACGGGGGCCACUUCCUGAGGAUCCUUCCGGAUGGCACAGUGGAUGGGACAAGGGACAGGAGCGACCAGCACACAGACACCAAAUGAGGAAUGUUUGUUCCUGGAACGGCUGGAGGAGAACCAUUACAACACCUAUAUAUCCAAGAAGCAUGCAGAGAAGAAUUGGUUUGUUGGCCUCAAGAAGAAUGGAAGCUGCAAACGCGGUCCUCGGACUCACUAUGGCCAGAAAGCAAUCUUGUUUCUCCCCCUGCCAGUCUCUUCCGAUUAAAGAGAUCUGUUCUGGGUGUUGACCACUCCAGAGAAGUUUCGAGGGGUCCUCACCUGGUUGACCCAAAAAUGUUCCCUUGACCAUUGGCUGCGCUAACCCCCAGCCCACAGAGCCUGAAUUUGUAAGCGA
rnacentral:sRNA from 1 species